CAGCCGCCGCGGUAAUACCGGCGGCCCGAGUGGCGGCCACUAUUAUUGGGCUUAAAGCGUCCGUAGCCGGGUUGGUUAGUCUCCCGGGAAAUCUGGCCGCUUAACGGUCAGAAUUCCGGGAGAUACUGCCAGCCUAGGGACCGGGAGAGGCCGAGGGGAUUCCCGGAGUAGGGGUGAAAUCCUAUAAUCCCGGGAGGACCACCUGUGGCGAAGGCGCUCGGCUGGAACGGGUCCGACGGUGAGGGACGAAGGCCAGGGGAGCAAACCGGAUUAGAUACCCGGGUAGUCCUGGCUGUAAACGAUGCGGACUUUGUGUCGGACAAGCUAUGAGCUUGUCCGGUGCCGGAGGGAAACCGUUAAGUCCGCCGCCUGGGGAGUACGGCCGCAAGGCUGAAACUUAAAGGAUUGGCGGG
rnacentral:rRNA from 1 species